rnacentral:rRNA from 1 species
UACGUAGGGUGCAAGCGUUGUCCGGAAUUAUUGGGCGUAAAGAGCUCGUAGGCGGUCUGUCGCGUCGGAUGUGAAAAUCCAGGGCUCAACCCUGGACCUGCAUUCGAUACGGGCAGACUAGAGUUCGGUAGGGGAGACGUGGAAUUCCUGGUGUAGCGGUGAAAUGCGCAGAUAUCAGGAGGAACACCGAUUGCGAAGGCAGCUCGCUGGGCCGAUACUGACGCUGAGGAGCGAAAGCGUGGGGGAGCAAACAGG